GUAGGUGAACCUGCGGAAGGAUCAUUAUUGAAAUAAACCUGAUGGGUUGUUGCUGGUUCUCUAGGGAGCAUGUGCACGCCUUGUCAUCUUUAUAUCUCCACCUGUGCACCCUUUGUAGACCUUCUAGGUCUAUGUUUCUUCAUUUACCCCAAUGUAUGUUAAUAGAAUGUUGUGACUAUAAAAAUAUAUACAACUUUCAGCAACGGAUCUCUUGGCUCUC
rnacentral:misc_RNA from 1 species